rnacentral:misc_RNA from 1 species
GAUGAAGAACGUAGUGAAAUGCGAUAAGUAAUGUGAAUUGCAGAAUUCAGUGAAUCAUCGAAUCUUUGAACGCACAUUGCGCCCGCCAGUAUUCUGGCGGGCAUGCCUGUUCGAGCGUCAUUACAACCCUCAGGCCCCCGGGCCUGGCGUUGGGGAUCGGCGGAAGCCCCCUGUGGGCACACGCCGUCCCUCAAAUACAGUGGCGGUCCCGCCGCAGCUUCCAUUGCGUAGUAGCUAACACCUCGCAACUGGAGAGCGGCGCGGCCAUGCCGUAAAACACCCAACUUCUGAAUGUUGACCUCGAAUCAGGUAGGAAUACCCGCUGAACUUAAGCAUAUCAUAAGCGGAGGA